rnacentral:rRNA from 1 species
AUUGAACGCUGGCGGCAUGCCUUACACAUGCAAGUCGAACGGUAACAGGUCUUCGGAUGCUGACGAGUGGCGAACGGGUGAGUAAUACAUCGGAACGUGCCCGAUCGUGGGGGAUAACGGAGCGAAAGCUUUGCUAAUACCGCAUACGAUCUACGGAUGAAAGCAGGGGACCGCAAGGCCUUGCGCGAACGGAGCGGCCGAUGGCAGAUUAGGUAGUUGGUGGGAUAAAAGCUUACCAAGCCGACGAUCUGUAGCUGGUCUGAGAGGACGACCAGCCGCACUGGGACUGAGAAACGGCCCAGACUCCGACGGGAGGCAGCAGUGGGGAAUGUUGGACAAGGGGCGCAAGCCUGAUCCAGCAAUGCCGCGUGCAGGAUGAAGGCCUUCGGGUUGUAAACUGCUUUUGUACGGAACGAAAAGGCUCUGGUUAAUACCUGGGGCUCAUGACGGUACCGUAAGAAUAAGCACCGGCUAACUACGUGCCAGCCGCCGCGGUAAAAC